rnacentral:rRNA from 1 species
UGGCGGACGGGUGAGUAACGCGUGAGUAACCUGCCUUUCAGAGGGGGAUAACAUCCUGAAAAGGAUGCUAAUACCGCAUGACAUAUCGAGGCCGCAUGGUCUUGGUAUCAAAGGAGCAAUCCGCUGAGAGAUGGACUCGCGUCCGAUUAGCCAGUUGGCGGGGUAACGGCCCACCAAAGCGACGAUCGGUAGCCGGACUGAGAGGUUGAACGGCCACAUUGGGACUGAGACACGGCCCAGACUCCUACGGGAGGCAGCAGUGGGGGAUAUUGCACAAUGGAGGAAACUCUGAUGCAGCAACGCCGCGUGAGGGAAGAAGGUCUUCGGAUUGUAAACCUUUGUCCUUGGUGACGAAACAAAUGACGGUAGCCAAGGAGGAAGCUCCGGCUAACUACGUGCCAGCAGCCGCGGUAAU